AUGGAUGAACAGAGAAUAGCUUGCAUAUCUGUCACUUGGAGAGGCAGGCAACUUGACGUUGAUGCAGACCCAAGCUGUACGGUGAAGGAAUUUGGGCGACUGCUCCAGGAUUUGACUAUUUUUAAACCAGAGAUGUUGAAGUUCAUAGUUCCACAAUCUGCAAGUAAAGGUUCCAAGCUGAUCAGUCCAUUUUUAGACCCCCAUUCAAGCUUAACACUGGAAGAAGCUGCUGUCAGCAGGCCCCGUGUUUCACUAAAACUUCCACAGGGGCAAUACAUCUUCUGUGAUUUUCGGACACUUCACUUACCCGGGGCUGAGUUGAAUCCACCACCUUCAGAAGCUCUGAAAAGAAUGCACAUGCUUGCUUGUGACCCCGGCAUAAUUGCGAUCAUGAACAAGCAUAGAUGGCAAGUGGGAAUCAUGACUGAAAUGGCACCAGUGGGAUAUGUAGGUGUUAGUCCAAAAUGCAUUAUAGGCUUCAAUAAGAACAUGGGAGAGGAGAUACCCCUUCGCCUACGAACUGAUGAUUUGAAAGGAUUUCGGAAAUACGAAAGUAUCAAGAAAACUCUGCUCCAUGAACUUGCGCAUAAGGUGCACUCUGAGCAUGAUGCCCACUUUUUCGCUCUUAAUAAGCAGGAAGCUGCGUCCUUGGACUGGACCAAAUCAAGUGAACAUGUGCUGAGUGGCCGCAAAAUAUUUGAUUCCUAUGAAGAUGAAUUUGAUUUAGAACCGGAAGAUCAUGUUGUCGGUCACAAGCUUGGGGGUGGAUCGAGUUCACUGGCAAGUGCCUGUGUGUUGCAAGGAGUAGCUGCUUAUCAGCUUCUCUUGAGUGCAUCAUCAACAGAUUUGGGGAGUUCCCACAGUAGUGUUACUAAAUCUGUGGAGAAAUAUAAUGUGCAGGGUACACAAGCUGAACCUGAUCCGGAUGAUGCUGGUCAGGAUUUUAUUCAGGAAAAUGUGAAGGCGGAACCAGGCCCAGAUGAUAAUGAUGCCAUGCCUAUUGAUGUAGGAUCAGCAGGUUUUGUGGCAUCUACAGAGCAGAAUACCAGAGGUUAUUCUGAGCCUGUUCCUGAUGAUGUUGCCAAGAAAAGCUCUGUUGGUUGCCUAGAACCUGAUCCUGAUGAUUCGGCAGAUGUUGACAUGCUUAACAAGGAGAUCAAUGGUGAGCAUGAUAAUGAACCUGAUCUGAUGAUGGUACUAAGCAGAAAACACUCAGUUUUGGAGUCUGAACCUAACCCUGACGAUCAUGCUGCUAAUUUAAAGAGAGAUGAACUGCAAAGAAUAGAAGAGCCAGCUAUUGAAAUGCUUCGGUCGCAAGCUACACCUUCAGAGGCAUCCUCUGCACUUCAAACACUCUUCAAAAUUAUCAAGAAUGUGAUAGAGAACCCAAAUGAACCCAAGAAGAUUGCGCAAGGUAUGCUUGGUUUCUGUAUGUUAUGCUUUACCAAUUCGCAUUUCCAAAGGAGCGUGGCGAAUUACAAAGCUCCGAUGGAGGUCCUCGAGUUGAUUGGCUUCCGCGAGGAUGUGGUCUCGGAUGAGAUUGGGCGUGCGGAGACCUACCUGGUUCUGAAAAGGAAGGAUCUUGUGUUGCUGUGGCUUGCGAAGUCCUCUCUUGAAGUAUCCAUGGCUUGA
rnacentral:rRNA from 1 species